rnacentral:rRNA from 1 species
GGAGGAAAAGAAACUAACAAGGAUUCCCCUAGUAACGGCGAGUGAAGAGGGAAGAGCUCAAAUUUGAAAGCUGGUACCUUCGGUAUCCGCGUUGUAACCUCGAGACACGUUUUCCGUGCGGCGCUAUGGACAAGUUCCUUGGAACAGGACAUCGUAGAGGGUGAAAAUCCCGUACUUGCCAUGGAUGUACCGUGCUUUGCGAUACGUGCUCUAAGAGUCGAGUUGUUUGGGAUUGCAGCUCAAAAUGGGUGGUAGACUCCAUCUAAAGCUAAAUAUCGGGGAGAGACCGAUAGCGAACAAGUACCGUGAGGGAAAGAUGAAAAGCACUUUGGAAAGAGAGUUAAAAGUACGUGAAAUUGUCGAAAGGGAAGCGCUUGAAGUCAGCCAUGCCGCUCAGGACUCAGCCUGGCUUUUGCUUGGUGUAUUUCCUGGGUAGCAAGUCAGCAUUGGUUUGGAUCGUCGGAGAAGCAUAGUCGGAAUGUGGCGCCCUCGGGCGUG